AUUGCUUCUCGGCCUUUUGGCUAAGAUCAAGUGUAGUAUUUAUUCUUAUCAGUUUAAUAUCUGAUAUGUCCUCUAUCCUAGGACAAUAUAUUAAAUGGAUUUUUGUAGCUCAGAGUUGAAAUAGGAGCUUGCUCCGUCCACUCCAUGCAUCAAACUGGUAUUGCAGUACCUCUAGGAAUGGUGCACCCCCU
rnacentral:snRNA from 1 species